ACUCCUACGGGAGGCAGCAGUGGGGAAUAUUGCACAAUGGGCGCAAGCCUGAUGCAGCCAUGCCGCGUGUAUGAAGAAGGCCUUCGGGUUGUAAAGUACUUUCAGCAGUGAGGAAGGUGGGUAUGUUAAUAGCAUACUCAUUUGUACGUUAGCUGCAGAAGAAGCACCGGCUAACUCCGUGCCAGCAGCCGCGGUAAUACGGAGGGUGCGAGCGUUAAUCGGAAUUACUGGGCGUAAAGCGCAUGCAGGUGGUUUGUUAAGUCAGAUGUGAAAGCCCGGGGCUCAACCUCGGAAUUGCAUUUGAAACUGGCAAACUAGAGUACUGUAGAGGGGGUAGAAUUUCAGGUGUAGCGGUGAAAUGCGUAGAGAUCUGAAGGAUACCGGUGGCGAAGCGGCCCCUGGACAGAUACUGACACUCAGAUGCGAAAGCGUGGGAGCAAACAGGAUUAGAUACCCCGU
rnacentral:rRNA from 1 species